rnacentral:rRNA from 1 species
GAUGAACGCUAGCUACAGGCUUAACACAUGCAAGUCGAGGGGAAACGGCAUCGAAAGCUUGCUUUUGAUGGGCGUCGACCGGCGCACGGGUGAGUAACGCGUAUCCAACCUGCCCAUCACUUGGGAAUAACCUUGCGAAAGUAAGACUAAUGCCCAAUGACAUCCCACGAAGGCAUCCGAACGGGAUUCAAGUUUUAUCGGUGAUCGAUGUGGAUGCGUCUGAUUAGCUUGUUGGCGGUGUGACGGCCCACCAAGGCAACGAUCAGUAGGGGUUCUGAGAGGAAGGUCCCCGACAUUGGAACUGAGACACGGUCCAGACUGCUACGGGAGGCAGCAGUGAGGAAUAUAGGACAAUGGGCGAGAGCCUGAACCAGCCAAGUAGCGUGCAGGAUGACGGCCCUAUGGGUUGUAAACUGCUUUUAUUAGGGAAUAAAGUGGGUCGCGUGUGACUUUUUGCAUGUACCUGAUGAAUAAGGACCGGCUAAUUCCGUG